rnacentral:tRNA from 1 species
UUGGAUCACCUCCUAACAGGGAGACACACAAUGAUUUUGAUGCCUGAGUACUUUUAUUCUUAGGUCAGAAUCCUGUCACUUUAGGUCGAUCGGUACCUCAGCUUUGAGUUUAUCAAAUUUGCAGCGAUGCAGGUGAGGAUGGUGAAAAUUCUUAGUUCCUAAACUUUGUCUAGGUCACACCCCACAAGGGAUGAGACUCCUGGGCCAUUAGCUCAGGUGGUUAGAGCGCACCCCUGAUAAGGGUGAGGUCCCUGGUUCAAGUCCAGGAUGGCCCAUUCGGUGUUGGGGGUUUAGCUCAGUUGGUAGAGCGCCUGCUUUGCAAGCAGGAUGUCAGGAGUUCGAGUCUCCUAACCUCCACUGACCGAACUUUAUCCCCGCUCCAUGUAAUGGAGUUGAGCUCGAUUGGAGUGUGAUUUAGAUUUGUCCGCUGGAAGACCCCAGCUUCCUGUCAUUCUAAAGACAAGUAAAAAGUUUACUUGUUGACUUUGGUUGAUAAGAUGCUGGGCUCAAAUGAGUUGAUCAAGCAAUUGAUCAAUUGAUUUGAAGUUCUAGCAGAACCUUGACAACUGCAUAGGUAAGUCUGGAAAGAAUAAAGCAUCUCAUGGAUGAUGCGAUGAUUCUUUUCUGUGAUCCGAAAGGAUGAUGGAGAAGGAGAGUUGCAAAUUCUAUCGAGCAAGAGCCGAGACUCCAUCACGUUCUUUCAAUUGUGUCGAGCAAUUGCGAGUUUGAUUCUUGAUUCAGCAAUGAAUCAGGGAGAAUCUGUUUCAACGACAGCAAGCGUGUUGGAGAUUAUAUGGUCAAGCUACAAAGAGCUCACGGCGGAUACCUUGGCACACAGAGGCGAUGAAGGA